rnacentral:rRNA from 1 species
CGGCUCUGUAAGUUUUCGGUUAAAUCUGUACGCUCAACAUACAGGCUGCCGGGAAUACUGCAGAGCUAGGGAGUGGGAGAGGUAGACGGUACUCGGGAGGAAGUGGUAAAAUGCUUUGAUCUCUCGAUGACCACCUGUGGCGAAGGCGGUCUACCAGAACACGUCCGACGGUGAGGGAUGAAAGCUGGGGGAGCAAACCGGAUUAGAUACCCGGGUAGUCCCAGCUGUAAACUAUGCAAACUCAGUGAUGCAUUGGCUUGUGGCCAAUGCAGUAUUGCAGGGAAGCCGUUAAGUUUGCCGCCUGGGAAGUACGUACGCAAGUAUGAAACUUAAAGGAAUUGGCGGGGGAGCACCACAAGGGGUGAAGCCUGCGGUUCAAUUGGAGUCAACGCCAGAAAUCUUACCCGGAGAGACAGCAGAAUGAAGGUCAAGCUGAAGACUUUACCAGACAAGCUGAGAGGUGGUGCAUGGCCGUCGCCAGCUCGUGCCGUGAGAUGUCCUGUUAAGUCAGGUAACGAGCGAGAUCCCUGCCUCUAGUUGCCACCAUUACUCUCAGGAGUAGUGGGGCGAAUUAGCGGGACCGCCGCAGUUAAUGCGGAGGAAGGAAGGGGCCACGGCAGGUCAGUAUGCCCCGAAACUCUGGGGCCACACGCGGGCUGCAAUGGUAAUGACAAUGGGUUCCGAAUCCGAAAGGAGGAGGUAAUCCCCAAACAUUACCACAGUUAUGACUGAGGGCUGCAACUCGCCCUCACGAAUAUGGAAUCCCUAGU